rnacentral:pre_miRNA from 1 species
UGGGGGGAGCCGGAUCCUGGGCUGUGUCCCCCAGCACCCUGGGCUCCGGAGCCUGCGCCGCUGGAAUCGAGCUCCUGGGCCGCACAGCCCCCU